rnacentral:rRNA from 1 species
GACGAACGCUGGCGGCGUGCUUAACACAUGCAAGUCGAACGGAAAGGCCCUACUUUUGUGGGGUGCUCGAGUGGCGAACGGAUGAGUAACACGUGAGUAACCUGCCCUUGACUUUGGGAUAACUUCAGGAAACUGGGGCUAAUACCGGAUAGGAGCUCCUGCUGCAUGGUGGGGGUUGGAAAGUUUCGGCGGUUGGGGAUGGACUCGCGGCUUAUCAGCUUGUUGGUGGGGUAGUGGCUUACCAAGGCUUUGACGGGUAGCCGGCCUGAGAGGGUGACCGGCCACAUUGGGACUGAGAUACGGCCCAGACUCCUACGGGAGGCAGCAGUGGGGAAUAUUGCACAAUGGGCGGAAGCCUGAUGCAGCAACGCCGCGUGCGGGAUGACGGCCUUCGGGUUGUAAACCGCUUUCGCCUGUGACGAAGCGUGAGUGACGGUAAUGGGUAAAGAAGCACCGGCUAACUACGUG